AGCCUCCCCCACGCUGUUGCUAGGAGAUCACAGGGCUAUACUUCCAUCAUCUCCAUACUUGCUGGGAGAUUGAGUAAUUGGUGUCUGGAUGUGCGUGUGCUGCUUCCCAAAAUACCUCUUUAAAAAGACGUGAGAGGGAUGCGGAGCCAGUAGGGUAAAGCAUUGGCUUCCGUAUCUUUCAAAUUGUCCCGAGUGAUUCUGAUCCACAGUGAAAACUGAAAACUGUUCUAAUAUUCACCUUGCCGGAAAAGUAAGACUAUGUGAAGUGAACCCUCCUUCAAAUUGGAGAAGGAAGCUUUGAGAUUUCCAGGGAAGAUGGAAGACAGAACAGCUUGAGCCAUUUGGGUGCGGUGUAGAACUGGAAAUUGUGUCAAGGUUGACUGAGCCCUGUUUCUGGUCUAAGAAAGUUAAAACUUGUAUUCAAAAUGGAUAUCAAGACAACAUAAAAUGAAAUGACUGAUUUUGAAGAUUGAGAAUUAGGAAUAUUGUACAGAUGCUGUCAUUCCUACAUGAAGGAGGCAGAAGAAUGUAGCAAGCUCAGCUCUCUAAUGCCAGGAGUGGCACUUUCAGUGACCAGAGCUCCCUGGGUCCUCUGUGUAUCCCUCCCCUGUCAACUGAUUCAACAGAGGCUGGGCUGGUCCUGGCAUUAGCACAUUUUUGAAUCUGCCUUUGGCUGUGACUUCACCCAAAGACAGAAAGGGGAAGUUUCUGGUCUACAUAGCCAACAUGUGGUCUUGAUAAUAAAUCAUUGCUUGUUUGGAAGAA
rnacentral:lncRNA from 1 species